rnacentral:rRNA from 1 species
AGUGAACGCUGGCGGUAGGCCUAACACAUGCAAGUCGAACGGCAGCACAGUAAGAGCUUGCUCUUACGGGUGGCGAGUGGCGGACGGGUGAGGAAUACAUCGGAAUCUACUUUUUCGUGGGGGAUAACGUAGGGAAACUUACGCUAAUACCGCAUACGACCUACGGGUGAAAGCAGGGGAUCUUCGGACCUUGCGCGAUUGAAUGAGCCGAUGUCGGGUUAGCUAGUUGGCGGGGUAAAGGCCCACCAAGGCGACGAUCCGUAGCUGGUCUGAGAGGAUGAUCAGCCACACUGGAACUGAGACACGGUCCAGACUCCUACGGGAGGCCGCAGUGGGGAAUAUUGGACAAUGGGCGCAAGCCUGAUCCAGCCAUACCGCGUGGGUGAAGAAGGCCUUCGGGUUGUAAAGCCCUUUUGUUGGGAAAGAAAAGCAGCAGGUUAAUACCCCGCUGUUCUGACGGUACCCAAAGAAUAAGCACCGGCUAACUUCGUG